rnacentral:snRNA from 1 species
AAGCAAUUACCAGAUCAAAAGCA